AUCCUGGCUCAGAUUGAACGCUGGCGGCAGGCCUAACACAUGCAAGUCGAACGGUAACAGGAGAAGCUUGCUCUUUGCUGACGAGUGGCGGACGGGUGAGUAAUGUCUGGGAAACUGCCUGAUGGAGGGGGAUAACUACUGGAAACGGUAGCUAAUACCGCAUAACGUCGCAAGACCAAAGAGGGGGACCUUCGGGCCUCUUGCCAUCGGAUGUGCCCAGAUGGGAUUAGCUAGUAGGUGGGGUAACGGCUCACCUAGGCGACGAUCCCUAGCUGGUCUGAGAGGAUGACCAGCCACACUGGAACUGAGACACGGUCCAGACUCCUACGGGAGGCAGCAGUGGGGAAUAUUGCACAAUGGGCGCAAGCCUGAUGCAGCCAUGCCGCGUGUAUGAAGAAGGCCUUCGGGUUGUAAAGUACUUUCAGCGGGAGGAAGGGAGUAAAGUUAAUACCUUUGCUCAUUGACGUUACCCGCAGAAGAAGCACCGGCUAACUCCGUGCCAGCCGCUGC
rnacentral:rRNA from 1 species